AUUGAACGCUGGCGGCAGGCCUAACACAUGCAAGUCGAGCGGAUGAAGGGAGCUUGCGCCUGGAUGCAGCGGCGGACGGGUGAGUAAGGCCUAGGAAUCUGACUGGUAGUUGGGGAUAAGGUCAGGAAACGGGCGCUAAUACCGCAUACGUCAUGAGGUAGAAAGGCGGGGAUCUUUGGAGCUCGCGGUAUCAGAUGAGACUAGGUCGUAUUAGCUAGUUGGUGGGGUAAAGGCUUACCAAGGCGACGAUCCGUAACCGGGCUGAGAGGAUGAUCAGUCACACUGGAACUGAGACACGGUCCAGACUCCUACGGGAGGCAGCAGUAGGGAAUCUUGCACAAUGGGCGAAAGCCUGAUGCAGUCAUGCCGCGUGUGUGAUGAAGGUCUUCGGAUUGUAAAGCUCUUUUAGUUGGGAGGAAGAAAUGUAUGUUUAUCUAUGCACGUCUUGACGUUACCUAAAGAGAAAGCCACGGCUAACUUCGUG
rnacentral:rRNA from 1 species